rnacentral:snRNA from 1 species
GGACGUGAGGGCAAUCUGACUGCGACAUCUGUCACCCCAUUGAUUGCCAGGGUUGAUUCGGCUGAUCUGGCUGGCCAGGUGGGUGUUCCCUUCCUCCCUCACCGCUCCAUGUGCAUUCCUUCUGAAGGCAGUGAACUCAGUCGAAGAGGACCACCAUCCCUGAUAGAGGAGGACCGUUCUUUGGUCAAGGGUAUACAAGUAGCUGCACUCCCCUGCUAGAACCUCCAAAUUAGCUCUCAAGAGGGAAAGGAAGGGACAAUAAGGAAGAAGUGUGGAAGUGAACAUGAUUGUGAGACAGAAUAUAUUUUAUGAUUUGAUUU